rfam:Triticum aestivum genome assembly, contig: Triticum_aestivum_CS42_TGACv1_scaffold_146589_2BS
AACCUAUUUCCUCCGUUCGAAAUUACUCGUGCAAGAAAUAAAUGUAUUUAGAUGUAUUUUAGUUGUAGAUACAUUCAUUUUUAUUCAUUUUUGUGACAAGUAAUUCCGAACGGAGGGAGUACAAG